CUUCCCAAACCAGGGAUCAAACCCACGAAUCCUGCGUCUCCUGCAUUGGCAGGCAGAUUCUUUAUCGUUGAGCCACCUGAGAAGCCUUUCGUGUAUAUGUACAGCGUAUCAAAUCUAGGAGGUACAAAACGGGAGAGUGAAAAGUAAUAUUCUUUCCCAUAAUUCUCUUCAUAACUCUGUUUCCUCUCUUCAUAAGUCACCAUGGUAACAACGUGUAUCCAAGUGAUUAAUACACAUGUGUAUCUAUAUAUACUAGUGUAUGCAUAAUUUUCACUGAUGUAUCACUAUUGUCUAUUUUUUAAAAUAUAUUAUUCAUGCCAGAAUAUCUUUUUUUCAGGGUCGCUUUUUAAAUACAUUAGUGUAGUGGAAUGUUUUCUUUUAAUAAUUUGUAUUUCAUUCAACACAGAAGGAAUCAUCCUUAUCAAAAAAGAGAGAGUGAAUUAGACGAAAAUGGGUAAUCCGCAGGGAAAUGGUAGCAUGUGCAGCUAGAGGUAAAUCACAAAUAUCCACUAUGUAAACAGUAAACCUGUUGGGCCAGUUGUUACCCAGACACAAGCCAUUUUUCGUUUGCUUUUAUCAAUAAUAAAUGCAGUCCCCCAUCAGCUGGACCUCAAGACUUCUGCCUACACUGCAAGAGAUCUUGCUAAAUGGACAGAAACUGCCAGGCUGAGCAAGUGUACUGAAAACAUUUACAUAUUGAAACCCGCAGCAAUUUGGCUACGUGUUUAAGAGUGCUGGUCCCUGAAGGUUCCAGUUGAAUCCUUGUGCUCUUCACUGACCAGGAGCGGCUUUAUUGUGCCUGUGAUGCUGGACAGGUCUUAAAACGAGUCACAACAGUCCCUCCGUGGUCAACAGUCUACUGUUCCGCUGUCUCAAAUCCAUUUGCGAUGGCUGUAAAACGCCGCCCGCUGAUGCAAGCUGUAAAUCUUGCCCUCUCAUUCAAAAAGGCUGACAAGAGAGAAACAGCUUGAGUUUUCACCCCAGCCUGGCAAAGUCGAGAUCCUGCUGUGCCUGCUUGA
rnacentral:lncRNA from 1 species